rnacentral:rRNA from 1 species
GACGAACGCUGGCGGCGUGCUUAACACAUGCAAGUCGAACGGAAAGGCCCUGCUUUUGUGGGGUGCUCGAGUGGCGAACGGGUGAGUAACACGUGAGUAACCUGCCCUUGACUUUGGUAUAACUUCAGGAAACUGGGGCUAAUACCGGAUAGGAGCUCCUGCUGCAUGGUGGGGGUUGGAAAGUUUCGGCGGUUGGGGAUGGACUCGCGGCUUAUCAGCUUGUUGGUGGGGUAGUGGCUUACCAAGGCUUUGACGGGUAGCCGGCCUGAGAGGGUGACCGGCCACAUUGGGACUGAGAUACGGCCCAGACUCCUACGGGAGGCAGCAGUGGGGAAUAUUGCACAAUGGGCGGAAGCCUGAUGCAGCGACGCCGCGUGCGGGAUGACGGCCUUCGGGUUGUAAACCGCUUUCGCCUGUGACGAAGCGUGAGUGACGGUAAUGGGUAAAGAAGCACCGGCUAACUACGUG